rnacentral:misc_RNA from 1 species
UUAAAAUGUUUAAAGGUUAUGGCCUAUGGCCUUCUCAGACUGUAAGUUUAGAGUUUUCUAGAGUAUGCCCCUGUUAGGGGCAUUUCCACGCGUUAUAAUAAUGAUCCUUCCGCAGGUUCACCUACGGAAA